rnacentral:rRNA from 1 species
GAGUUUGAUCCUGGCUCAGAACGAACGCUGGCGGCGUGCUUAACACAUGCAAGUCGUACGAGAAACCGGAACUUCGGUUCUGGGAGUAAAGUGGCGCACGGGUGAGUAACGCGUAGGUAAUCUACCCUUGGGUUUGGAAUAACCCGCCGAAAGGCGGACUAAUACCGGAUAAAAUCUUUCAGAGGGAUCUGAAAGAUCAAAGGUGGCCUCUCCAUGGAUGCUACUGCCUGAGGAUGAGCCUGCGUCCCAUUAGCUUGUUGGUAGGGUAAUGGCCUACCAAGGCUACGAUGGGUAGCUGGUCUGAGAGGAUGAUCAGCCACACUGGAACUGGAACACGGUCCAGACUCCUACGGGAGGCAGCAGUGAGGAAUAUUGCGCAAUGGGGGAAACCCUGACGCAGCGACGCCGCGUGGGUGAAGAAGGCCUUCGGGUCGUAAAGCCCUGUCUAGAGGGAAGAAAUUCUCAAUGGAACAAUACCCAUUGAGAUUGACGGUACCUCUGGAGGAAGCACCGGCUAACUCCGUGCCAGCAGCCGCGGUAAUACGGAGAGUGCGAGCGUUGUUCGGAAUUACUGGGCGUAAAGCGGGUGUAGGCGGUUUGUUAAGUCAGAUGUGAAAGCCCACGGCUCAACCGUGGAAGUGCAUCUGAAACUGGCUGACUUGAGUACCGGAGAGGGAAGUGGAAUUCCUGGUGUAGGGGUGAAAUCCGUAGAUAUCAGGAGGAACACCGGUGGCGAAGGCGACUUCCUGGACGGAUACUGACGCUGAGAUCCGAAAGCGUGGGGAGCAAACAGGAUUAGAUACCCUGGUAGUCCACGCCCUAAACGAUGGGCACUAGGUGCAGGGGGUGUUGACCCCUCCUGUGCCGCAGCUAACGCAUUAAGUGCCCCGCCUGGAGUACGACACCGG